AUUGAACGCUGGCGGCAGGCUUAACACAUGCAAGUCGAGCGAGCGGCGGACGGGUGAGUAAUGUCUGGGAAACUGCCUGAUGGAGGGGGCUAACUACUGGAAACGGUAGCUAAUACUGCAUAACAUCAGAUGUGCUCUGAUGGGAUUAGCUAGUGGGGGGGGUAAUGGCUCACCAAGGCGACGUUCCAUAGCUAGCCUGAGAGGAUGACCAGCCACACUGGAACUGAGACACGGGCCAGACUCCUACGUGAGGCAGCAGUGGGGAAUAUUGCACAAUGGGCGCAAGCCUGAUGCAGCCAUGCCGCGUGUGUGAAGAAGGCCUUCGGAUUGUAAAGCACUGUCAGCGGGGAAGCGUUACUCGCAGAAGAAGCACCGGCUAACUCCGUGCCAGCAGCCGCGGUAAUAC
rnacentral:rRNA from 1 species